rnacentral:lncRNA from 1 species
GCACUCAACGGUAACAUCUGUUUUACUUAAGCGGCUUGAUUUCGUUUUAGGAUGAAAAAGUAUUCCCUUUCAGCAUGAGGAAUCAUGGGCCCUGGGGCUUGUAUUGAUUCAGAACAAGGCCUCAUAAAACACUAGCAGAAGAAGCUGGGAUGAAGACCAAGUAGAGAGAGGCCCAGCCAUUUCUGCUCUCCCUAUUGCCCUGGCUGAACUCAGCCCCAUCUGAAAUCUGUU